rnacentral:rRNA from 1 species
GAUGAACGCUGGCGGCGUGCCUAAUACAUGCAAGUCGAGCGAACAGACGAGGAGCUUGCUCCUCUGACGUUAGCGGCGGACGGGUGAGUAACACGUGGAUAACCUACCUAUAAGACUGGGAUAACUUCGGGAAACCGGAGCUAAUACCGGAUAAUAUAUUGAACCGCAUGGUUCAAUAGUGAAAGACGGUUUUGCUGUCACUUAUAGAUGGAUCCGCGCCGCAUUAGCCAGUUGGUAAGGUAACGGCUUACCAAGGCAACGAUGCGUAGCCGACCUGAGAGGGUGAUCGGCCACACUGGAACUGAGACACGGUCCAGGCUCCUACGGGAGGCAGCAGUAGGGAAUCUUCCGCAAUGGGCGAAAGCCUGACGGAGCAACGCCGCGUGAGUGAUGAAGGUCUUCGGAUCGUAAAACUCUGUUAUUAGGGAAGAACAAAUGUGUAAGUAACUAUGCACGUCUUGACGGUACCUAAUCAGAAAGCCACGGCUAACUACGUG